rnacentral:lncRNA from 1 species
GAAAUACUAAAGUUUCUCAAAAUACAAGAGCUAAAAAAAUAUUUGAAUAACAUUAGGAGCUAUGGAAUUCCUAGGGGAACUAAGCAGCUGCGUCUUCAUUCUCCUCUCGAGCGUUCUCCACAGAGACCUCAUUCUCCUCUGCUCACAUCCAAAAAUGGAUGAUCAUCGCAACAGGAACACAUACAACAUACACAGACACAAGCAAUGCAAGGGUGAGCUAAUUAUAUAACACCAUACAACUCAAUUUAAGCGUGUAACAUACAAGAGACAACUUCACAUCAAACAGUUUAAGAAACACAACCUAAGCAUGUUAAUUUCUAGACUUGACUCGUCCGGACUUUAAAAUGAUAGUCGGGCUAUGGCGAGUCUUGCACCCGUGGUGACUUAUGAAACUUGGGUUCCCCACCCUGCCACACUCACGAGGUUAGUCCGUUCCGGGCCUUGAGGCAUACUGGGAGCCCCCAAGACUAAGGACCUC